rnacentral:tRNA from 1 species
CCAUUGGUGAUUUGGUGGUACAAAUCUCAUCUGUCAUGUGGGAGACCUAGGUUCGAGUCCCAGCCAGUGCA